CGGAGGAGCUAGCGUUGUUCGGAAUUACUGGGCGUAAAGAGUACGUAGGCGGUGAUUCAAGUCAGAGGUGAAAGCCUGGAGCUCAACUCCAGAACUGCCUUUGAAACUAGAUCGCUAGAAUCAUGGAGAGGUUAGUGGAAUUCCGAGUGUAGAGGUGAAAUUCGUAGAUAUUCGGAAGAACACCAGUGGCGAAGGCGACUAACUGGACAUGUAUUGACGCUGAGGUACGAAAGCGUGGGGGAGCAAACAGGAUU
rnacentral:rRNA from 1 species